UGUAAAGUGCCUGAGAAAAGGAUAAUUAUGAUAGAAUUAAAUAUGUGUUCCCCCCCACCUUUACAA
rnacentral:tRNA from 1 species